CCUGGUGGCUCAGAUGGUAAAGCAUCUGCCUGCAAUGUGGGAGACCAGGGUUCAAUCCCUGGGUCAGGA
rnacentral:tRNA from 1 species